rnacentral:rRNA from 1 species
AUUGAACGCUGGCGGCAUGCCUUACACAUGCAAGUCGAACGGCAGCACGGGUGCUUGCACUUGGUGGCGAGUGGCGAACGGGUGAGUAAUACAUCGGAACAUGUCCUGUAGUGGGGGAUAGCCCGGCGAAAGCCGGAUUAAUACCGCAUACGAUCUACGGAUGAAAGCGGGGGACCUUCGGGCCUCGCGCUAUAGGGUUGGCCGAUGGCUGAUUAGCUAGUUGGUGGGGUAAAGGCCUACCAAGGCGACGAUCAGUAGCUGGUCUGAGAGGACGACCAGCCACACUGGGACUGAGACACGGCCCAGACUCCUACGGGAGGCAGCAGUGGGGAAUUUUGGACAAUGGGCGAAAGCCUGAUCCAGCAAUGCCGCGUGUGUGAAGAAGGCCUUCGGGUUGUAAAGCACUUUUGUCCGGAAAGAAAUCCUUGGCUCUAAUACAGUCGGGGGAUGACRRUACCGGAAGAAUAAGCACCGGC